rnacentral:rRNA from 1 species
AACGAACGCUGGCGGCAUGCCUAACACAUGCAAGUCGAACGAGACCUUCGGGUCUAGUGGCGCACGGGUGCGUAACGCGUGGGAACCUGCCCUUAGGUUCGGAAUAACUCCCCGAAAGGGGUGCUAAUACCGGAUAAUGUCUUCGGACCAAAGAUUUAUCGCCUUUGGAUGGGCCCGCGUUGGAUUAGAUAGUUGGUAGGGUAAAAGCCUACCAAGGCGACGAUCCAUAGCUGGUCUGAGAGGAUGAUCAGCCACACUGGGACUGAGACACGGCCCAGACUGCUACGGGAGGCAGCAGUGGGGAAUAUUGGACAAUGGGCGAAAGCAUGAUCAAGCAAUGCCGCGUGAGUGAUGAAGGCCUGAGGGUUGUAAAGCUCUUUUAACCGGGAUGAUAAUGACAGUACCGGGAGAAUAAGCUCCGGCUAACUCCGUG